rnacentral:piRNA from 1 species
UUACAUAGCAAUGGAAAAGCAAUGUGUGA